CCUACGGGAGGCAGCAGUGAGGAAUAUUGGUCAAUGGACGGAAGUCUGAACCAGCCAUGCCGCGUGCAGGAAGACGGCUCUAUGAGUUGUAAACUGCUUUUGUACAAGGGUAAACCUGAAUACGUGUAUUCAGCUGAAAGUACUGUACGAAUAAGGAUCGGCUAACUCCGUGCCAGCAGCCGCGGUAAUACGGAGGAUCCAGCGGUUAUCCGGAUUUAUGGGGUUAAAGGGGUGCGGAGGCGGAUUGAUAAGUUGGAGGGGAAAUGGCCGAGCUUAACUCGGGAACUGCCUCUAAUACUGUUGAUCGAGAGAGUAGAUGCGGUAGGCGGAAUGUAUGGUGUAGCGGUGAAAUGCUUAGAGAUCAUACAGAACACCGAUUGCGAAGGCAGCUUACCAAUCUAUAUCUGACGUUGAGGCACGAAAGCGUGGGGAGCAAACAGGAUUAGAUACCCCAGUAGUC
rnacentral:rRNA from 1 species